rnacentral:lncRNA from 1 species
GGUCCAUCAAUGCAAAAAUCCCAGGUUACUGCACUGGGUUGGUACUAGGUAGACGUCGGCCACAAUUAGUGCUGCAACGGUUAAUUUUUGAAAUGGGCUAUUGUUUACUGCUAGACCAACUACUCUCUGCAUUUGCGUUUCUAUUCCGGGUAUUCCGUUGGAACAGAGUGCUAUAUAGUCAUGUUUGUUUAUCUUAUUUGAUUUGUCUCUGUCUUGCACGUGCAUAUGUUGAGAGGAGCUUCUUGGAGUUGCAACAUUAGCACUUGUGUUUUUCUACAGGGCCUGUUUGGCUCCACCCUAUUAAAGUUUAACACCCGUCACAUCGGAUGUUUGGAUGCUAAUUAGAAGUAUUAAAUAUAGACUAAUUACAAAACUAAUUGUACAGUUGGAGUGUAAUUGGCGAGACGAAUCUAUUAAGCCUAAUUAGUCCAUGAUUUGACAAUGUGGUGCUACAGUAACCAUUUGCUAAUUGUGGAUUAAUUAGGCUUAAUAGAUUCGUCUCGCGAAUUAGCACAGGGUUCUGCAAUUAAUUUUAUAAUUAGCUCAUGUUUAAUUCUUCUAAUUAGCAUCCGAACAUCCGAUGUGACACUGUUAAAGUUUAGCACCUCGUAUCCAAACACCCCCUCAAUGCGAGUCUUUCUGCUUGUGAAGGAUUUAUUUGGGGCAACUUCAGAUUGGAUCUUUCGCUGUGAUACAAAACAUUGGCCAGCGAGACAGAAGGAAUUUCUUUGAUUUGACUUGAUUUUCAGCUAUCUGUAUGCAAUCUUUGGGCUCUUUCUGAAAUCUGAACUACUCACAUACAUGUGGAUACAAGUUAAAUGAUUAGUGCUUCCCCACCUAUGUCGAUAUGUCGUCCUUCUGUUCAUGUUUU